rnacentral:rRNA from 1 species
GCAUAUCAAUAAGCGGAGGAAAAGAAACCAACAGGGAUUGCCUCAGUAGCGGCGAGUGAAGCGGCAAGAGCUCAGAUUUGAAAUCGUGCUUUGCGGCACGAGUUGUAGAUUGCAGGUUGGAGUCUGUGUGGAAGGCGGUGUCCAAGUCCCUUGGAACAGGGCGCCCAGGAGGGUGAGAGCCCCGUGGGAUGCCGGCGGAAGCAGUGAGGCCCUUCUGACGAGUCGAGUUGUUUGGGAAUGCAGCUCCAAGCGGGUGGUAAAUUCCAUCUAAGGCUAAAUACUGGCGAGAGACCGAUAGCGAACAAGUACUGUGAAGGAAAGAUGAAAAGCACUUUGAAAAGAGAGUGAAACAGCACGUGAAAUUGUUGAAAGGGAAGGGUAUUGCGCCCGACAUGGGGAUUGCGCACCGCUGCCUCUCGUGGGCGGCGCUCUGGGCUUUCCCUGGGCCAGCAUCGGUUCUUGCUGCAGGAGAAGGGGUUCUGGAACGUGGCUCUUCGGAGUGUUAUAGCCAGGGCCAGAUGCUGCGUGCGGGGACCGACGACUGCGGGCGUGUAGGUCACGGAUGCUGGCAGAACGGCGCAACACCGCCCGUCUU